rnacentral:rRNA from 1 species
GGGCGGCAGCUAUACAUGCAAGUCGAACGAACUCUGGUAUUGAUUGGUGCUUGCAUCAUGAUUUACAUUUGAGUGAGUGGCGAACUGGUGAGUAACACGUGGGAAACCUGCCCAGAAGCGGGGGAUAACACCUGGAAACAGAUGCUAAUACCGCAUAACAACUUGGACCGCAUGGUCCGAGCUUGAAAGAUGGCUUCGGCUAUCACUUUUGGAUGGUCCCGCGGCGUAUUAGCUAGAUGGUGGGGUAACGGCUCACCAUGGCAAUGAUACGUAGCCGACCUGAGAGGGUAAUCGGCCACAUUGGGACUGAGACACGGCCCAAACUCCUACGGGAGGCAGCAGUAGGGAAUCUUCCACAAUGGACGAAAGUCUGAUGGAGCAACGCCGCGUGAGUGAAGAAGGGUUUCGGCUCGUAAAACUCUGUUGUUAAAGAAGAACAUAUCUGAGAGUAACUGUUCAGGUAUUGACGGUAUUUAACCAGAAAGCCACGGCUAACUACGUGCCAGCAGCCGCGGUAAUACGUAGGUGGCAAGCGUUGUCCGGAUUUAUUGGGCGUAAAGCGAGCGCAGGCGGUUUUUUAAGUCUGAUGUGAAAGCCUUCGGCUCAACCGAAGAAGUGCAUCGGAAACUGGGAAACUUGAGUGCAGAAGAGGACAGUGGAACUCCAUGUGUAGCGGUGAAAUGCGUAGAUAUAUGGAAGAACACCAGUGGCGAAGGCGGCUGUCUGGUCUGUAACUGACGCUGAGGCUCGAAAGUAUGGGUAGCAAACAGGAUUAGAUACCCUGGUAGUCCAUACCGUAAACGAUGAAUGCUAAGUGUUGGAGGGUUUCCGCCCUUCAGUGCUGCAGCUAACGCAUUAAGCAUUCCGCCUGGGGAGUACGGCCGCAAGGCUGAAACUCAAAGGAAUUGACGGGGGCCCGCACAAGCGGUGGAGCAUGUGGUUUAAUUCGAAGCUACGCGAAGAACCUUACCAGGUCUUGACAUACUAUGCAAAUCUAAGAGAUUAGACGUUCCCUUCGGGGACAUGGAUACAGGUGGUGCAUGGUUGUCGUCAGCUCGUGUCGUGAGAUGUUGGGUUAAGUCCCGCAACGAGCGCAACCCUUAUUAUCAGUUGCCAGCAUUAAGUUGGGCACUCUGGUGAGACUGCCGGUGACAAACCGGAGGAAGGUGGGGAUGACGUCAAAUCAUCAUGCCCCUUAUGACCUGGGCUACACACGUGCUACAAUGGAUGGUACAACGAGUUGCGAACUCGCGAGAGUAAGCUAAUCUCUUAAAGCCAUUCUCAGUUCGGAUUGUAGGCUGCAACUCGCCUACAUGAAGUCGGAAUCGCUAGUAAUCGCGGAUCAGCAUGCCGCGGUGAAUACGUUCCCGGGCCUUGUACACACCGCCCGUCACACCAUGAGAGUUUGUAACACCCAAAGUCGGUGGGGUAACCUUUUAGGAACCAGCCGC